GACUUCAUGGCGAAGUCGGUUAUCGCAUCCGUCUCACACACGGAAGGUCCUCAGUUCGAUCCUGGGUGAAGUCA